rnacentral:lncRNA from 1 species
AACAGUUCAGUAACCCCUUUGCCAGCUUGUGUAACUGUGUCAGCGUCUAAUCUUCUCGAUCUGCUCAUGGGUCGAUGUGAUUGUGAUGUCCGCAUGGAGAAUGAAUCAUCGUAUAACGCUUCAGGUUCAAGAAAAGCAAGUUUACGACGGGAAAAUUCCAGCCUAACUGUCCUUUUUUUUACUGUGGCGGCUGAUGUGGUCUUUGGUGGUUGAGAUUUCAGAUCAGGAGCACUGGACUGCAGGAAGCCGAGUGCAAAUCGGUCGCCGGUUUGUUCCCCAUUUGCAGACAGCGGCAACCUGCAGCUGCUUGCUCAAACUCACCUCCUUUCGGGCUUGGAUUGUCAGCACCAAUGCAAAGUAGAGAGGCUGUUUGGCUUCACGAGAAAGGAACUCGUACGAGGCCUGAUGAAGAUGGAGCUUGUCACUUAUCAGCUUGCUGUUCCACCCACAAGUAACCAAAUAUACAUUUUUUUUUCAGAAAAUUAGUUCCAUCGCAGUAAAGAUCAAGACAUUGAUGCUUGAAAAUCCAAAUGGUAAAAGAAUGCCACUAUGCCUGUAUGCCAGUAGCGCCGGCACUUUGGACGACGGCCAUGUAGACAUGUUACCUGACAACUGAAAGGAUAUGUUCUUUUGACUUAAGUGGAUCAUUCAGUCUUAGAACCAUGAUCAAGAUGUAGACAGGAAACUCUGACAUGCUUGUUAGUGCACGAUAAGGUUCCCUCUAGUCCCGACGCAGAAGUUGUUGACCUUGACCCUGCGAAAGCGCUCAUAAUCGGUAAUGAUCAGAUUCAGACCAAGACCAGGGCCAUGCUGUGCUUCUUGCAAGAGGGAGCAACGAUCUGGUCAGUCUGUCUGACAGGCAGCCAUUAUCCCCCGGCAGCGGCAGGACGCUGCCCUUUCUGACCUUUCGAGGAGGCUGGGAGUUCUUUUGCAUUGCUUCUUUCUUGGGCCCUGCCGUUCUCCGUGGAGAAGAUCAAGGCCUGAUACUCGCAUGCGGCAUGCCCUGUGCCUUGACUUCCUUUCGCGACUACCGCUGGAACGACGAACGAUCACGCGCGCCGGCAUGGAGCCACGCGCCGCACGCGUGACCCGUGGAGUCGUGGACCAUGGUCGCUUCGCCUGUUGCAAUUCCGGCGAGUUCCAAUCGCCGGCAAGCACCCACACGCACACUCGAUGAACACAAGUGGACGCAGGUUUUGCGCUGCAAAAAGAACGGCAGC